UGAGAACGCCCAAGUGAUCAACCAUUUUGGACCCUUCUUCUCCAAUUGAAAACACCAUAGCAGCAAAAUCCUUUUACCCACCCAAAAGACCCCAUUCUAGCCGCUGCUGCUUCUUCACUCUUACCCUCUGAAAUCUACUCAAUCUCCAACACCAACGAUUAGAACAACCCGUCUCCAGCCACUCACAACAGCUGCAAUCCCCUCUGAUUCGAACAACACACAUCCGCACACCACUUAAAAUCGGCAACAUCACACACAUUCACGUCCACAUUGGCAAGAUCUUUGACAUAAAACUUCUGUCCAAAGUACCCGUCAAUUUGAGGUUUCUGAUCCAAUCAAAGUCCUGUUAGUCAAUGAGCUCUUGUGAUUUAAAGAUUGAGGUUCCUUCUCUCUUCUAUCUUGCUCUAUAUUUUGGAAUAAAUUAAGGGUUGAUUCAUUUUCUGGUUUAUAUCCCUAUUUGAUGUUCUACGUCUUGAAUGAAUUAAAGUUGAUCUGCUAUUUUAUUAUUGCUCCUUUAUGUUUGAUUUCUCUACUGAAAACCUUGUGCUAACGUGAGGAGGGAAAAAAAGAUGUUAGUUUGUUUAAUCUAAUUUACCAGAUUAGCCUUGAAUUUGGAAAUAGGACUUUAAUCUAAUUUAUUUAAGCAAUAAGUGGGUCGUAGGGAUUGGGCUGAAAUUUCUCUAGAUAUUUAAUAAAUUAUAGGAAUUGAUUGAAGGGUCUUGGGCCUGAAUUGACAUUUCAUUAUUUUCUAUUUACUUAUUUAGGCGGAUCCUUGAAAGCAUGUCGUAGAUCUCAACAAGUGGGUAGGCAAACCUUUAGGCGCGUAAUUAAAUUAUCAUGGAUAUGGGUACGGUUCCCGUAGCAUGAUCGUGGUACAUAAUUCCCAAAUUCGGGUGCACAUUUCAUGUGACCCGACCACAACUUCGAACAAUAAUAAAAUACACGUGUUGUAGAUUGUGUGUACGAUUCCUGUAAUAACAUUCGCAACAUGUACAAAAGCAAACAAGUGUAUGACAAUUGUAAUUUGUUUCAGAAAUAACUCCAUACAUAAUUAAAAGCAGUUAAAAAUAUACAAAUGCACAAUAGGAAUAAAACAUGCCAUUAAAUCAGAUAAUUAGGCCAAUUAAUAAUAGUUGAGCGACUGUUUUAAAACCACGGAACCUAGGAAUGCCUAACACCUGCUCUCGGGUUAACAGAAUUCCUUACACAGUUUUCUGUGUUUCGCGGACUGUGAAACAAAGUCAAAACUUUCCUCGAUUCGGGAUUUUAAGCUAGCUUGGGACACCAUAAAUUAUCCCAAGUGGCAACUCUGAAUUGAAUAUAGAUAAUCCUGUUUCGGUUAUUGUCACUUUAAUUGGAAAAACUCUCUAUUCCCCCUCAGAAAAAGGAGGUGUGACAGCUUUGGCGACUCUGCUGGGGACAAGAACACAGAAUCUCUAGUUUAGGGUUCAGAAUUCGAGCUUAGAAUAAUUGUUAUAGUUGGCUUUGUUUAUUAUCUAAUUUUUAUGUGUUUGAACCUAAUGUGCUAAAUGCCGCUUUUUACCGCUUUGAUAAUGUUUGAACCGUAUAUAAACUAUUACGAAACCCUUCUUCUCUAUGAGUCUUCUUAAUCUUCUGGGAAGAGUACGCUGGCAUGAAUUCUUUUCUGUUAGUGUCAUACCCUAAUUCAGAACGAGGAUCGGAUCAGUUACAAAGCCGGAUGACCUUUAGGUUACCGGUACGUUGCCCUCCCUCCCCCCUCGGCUCGAGUUGUCCGACCAGGUCUAGAAUAAUACACCCAAGUUUUAACCCUAGAAUAACAUAGCCUCAUGCCGGAUCCCUAGGAGGAGCACUUGUUUACAUCACAUGUAUUUGAAUUUGGGGACUUAAUACAGGGUCUGGGUCUGUCUAGGACAGGUGUACCGAAAUAAAAAGACCAUCCUGAUGUAUUUUUACGUGUUAUUUGUGCAUUUAUUUGUUUCAGCUUGCAUGUUGACUGGCUUCAAGAUUAGGGAAGAAAAAUCAAAUGAAAACCAAGACUGAGGUAGGAGAAAGGAAAUCAUCUAUUUCCAAAAACCCUGGUGUUGAAAAUAUCCCAAAAGUCUGCCGAAAUUUUGAAAAGAAAAAAAUAAGGGAAAAGGUCAUUCCAAAAUAAGUCAUACUUUCUUGUUGCGUCAAAACUGAUAGAAUUACGCGGGUCUGAUUCUCACCAGAUGUGAGAUACGUAAGCAAACUUCAUUUGUUCCGUCCCCCAAUUUUCAAAAAUUCAAAAAAGAACUCCUUUACUUCCUUCUUUAGAAAGUUUUUCUUUUAGACCCCAAUUUUUAAAAAAAUAUAAAAAAUAUUUUCUUUUAAUUUCUUCUCAAAAUCCAAAAAACUAUUGUGACGACCCGAAGGGUCAUCACCGUAGUUCUUCCUUGUUCCGCGCUUUCGAGGCCUUGAAAGCCUCGCUUUUAGUUGCCUCGAUUGGCGUGCGUAGUUCGGGCACGUAAAUGAAAGUUUUUAUGUUAGAAUAUGUGAAUUAUGUGAAUCAUUUGAUGAAUUUUGGUAUUAAUAUGCAUAAUGUUGACAUCGGUCAACAUUUUGGGUAAACAGACCUGGACCUGUGAUUCGACGGUCCCAAAGGGUCCGUAGAAAAAUAAGGGACUUGGGCGUGUGCCCGGAAUCAAAUUCUGAGGUCCCAAGCCCGAGAAAUGAAUUUUCGAAAGAAAUUGUUUUUCUGAAAUCUAAUAUGAAAAUUUGAAAUGAAAAGGAGUUAGAAAAUAUAGGUAUCGGGCUCGUAUUUUGGUUCUGAUGCCCGAUACAAAUCUUAAAUAUGUGUUAAGCACUAUCUGUAAAGUUUGGCUAAAAACGGACGUCAUAUGACGUGUUUCAGACUAAAAUGGAGAAUUUGAGUUAUGAAAGUUGAAGAAAAGAAAAUCAUGUGUUUGAGGCUUGAUCCUAUGUAUAUGAUGUUAUUUUGGCGAUUUGAUCGCACGAGUAAGUCCGUAAGAUGUUUUUAAGGUUGUGUGCAUGUUUGGUUUGGAGCCCCGUGGGCUCGGGUGAGUUUUGAAUGGGGCCCGGGAGGUCUUGGACUUAAGAAAAUGCAGGUUCAGGUGUUGCAGACACCAGCGCGGCCGCGGUCAUUUCCGCGCGGUCCGCGCUGGAGACGCGCGGCCGCGAUGCCUUUCUUUGCGGUCCGCAUGGCUGAGUCUGAGGGCUAGGAUUUCAGGUCAACCAGUGCGGCCGCGCACCAAAAUAGUGCGGUCCGCGCUGUAAGGGUUCAGAGAAGCCCCAAACUUUCUCCCACUCGGCGCGGCCGCAACACAUUUUUGUGCGGUCCGCACCAGGUCCUCAGAAAGGUAUACAAGUUCGGAAAUCUCAGUCAUUUUUCACUUUUCAAAAACCCAAAACCUAAGAGGCGAUUUUCCAAACAACUCUUCUUCUCCAAAACGAUUGGUAAGUGAUUUCUAACUUAAUUUCUUUAUCCCUUAACAUCUUUUAAUAUAAUUUCAACUUCAAAUCAAAGAUUUUCAUGGGGAAAAUUGGGUGUUUUGGGUAGAACCUAGGUUUUCUACAAAUUGAGAAGUUGGACCUCAAUUGGGGUCCGAUUUAAAAACAAAUCAUAUAUUUGGAUUCAUGGGGGAAUGGGUAACCGGGUUUUGGUCCGAACCUCGAGUUUCGACCACGUGGGUCCGGGUGUAUUUUUGACCUUUUUUGGAAAAACCUUGAAAAAUCUAUUUUCAUGCAUUGGGGAUGAUUCAUUUAGUAAUUAUUAAUGUGAUUAAGUAACUUAUGACUAGAUCCGAGCGGAUUGGUGGUGGAAUCAAGAGGUAAAGCUAUACUAGAAGCAUGAGUUGAGUUUGGAGCAUUCGAGGUAAGUGUUUGUUCUAACUUUGGCUUGAGGGAUUAAGAUUUGGAUAUUAUUUGCUACGUGUUAACUGUGGAGUACGUUGUAUAGGCAUGGUGACGGUUAUCUAUACACCGGAGU
rnacentral:lncRNA from 1 species